rnacentral:misc_RNA from 1 species
GUUCAUAUCGAUCAAAAAAACGCCCACCAACUCCAUUUCUCCUUUCUCCUUUCUCUCUGAAAAAAAAGAAAAUGACUAGCAUUUGUAAGCUCUCGAAUCCAUGCUUCAGCUCAACCUCGUAUGGUAGCAGAUCUUCAUCAACACCUAAGUUUGUUGUCCAUCUUCGUACUAGCACCUUUAAUCACACCCUCUCUGGCUCCAAGUUAUCACUUGUUAUCAAUCCUUCUAUUAGGGCAUCUUUGUGUGUCAAAUGCUCCCAAGCUGAUGGAAAUGGAAGCUCAGUGAAGAAAACUACUCUCCAUCAUCUCUAUGAGACGCAAGGACAGAGCCCAUGGUAUGACAAUCUGUGUCGUCCCGUCACCGAUCUCAUUCCAUUGAUUGACAGUGGUGUCAGAGGUGUAACCAGCAAUCCGGCGAUUUUCCAGAAAGCUAUAUCAACAUCAAAUGCUUACAAUGACCAGUUCAGGGAACUUGUACAAGCUGGAAAAGAUAUAGACAGUGUGUAUUGGGAACUUGUGGUAAAGGACAUCCAAGAUGCAUGCAAACUCUUUGAGACAAUCUAUGAUAAAACAGAUGGUGG